rnacentral:rRNA from 1 species
AGAGUUUGAUCCUGGCUCAGAACGAACGCUGGCGGCGUGCCUAACACAUGCAAGUCGAGCGCGAAAGUCCCUUCGGGGGCGAGUAGAGCGGCGGACGGGUGAGUAAUACAUGGAUAAUCUCCCUUCGAGCUCGGGAUAACACUGCGAAAGCGGUGCUAAUACCGGAUAAGACCACGUCACCCAGGUGAUGCGGUAAAAGAUGGCUUUGUUUUCGGAUGAGGCUAUCACUUGAGGAUGAGUCCAUGGCCUAUCAGCUUGUUGGUGAGGUAAAGGCUCACCAAGGCGAUGACGGGUAGCUGGUCUGAGAGGACGACCAGCCACACUGGGACUGAGACACGGCCCAGACUCCUACGGGAGGCAGCAGUGGGGAAUAUUGGGCAAUGGGCGAAAGCCUGACCCAGCGACGCCGUGUGGGCGAUGAAGGCCUUCGGGUUGUAAAGCCCUGUUGGGUGGAAAGAAGGGCUCUAGGACGAAUAAUCCCUGAGUCUUGACGGUACCACCAUAGGAAGCACCGGCUAACUCCGUUCCAGCAGCCGCAGUAAUACGGAGGGUGCAAGCGUUGUUCGGAAUUUCUGGGCGUAAAGGGCGCGUAGGUGGUUGUAUAAGUCAGAUGUGCAAUCCCGAGGCUCAACCUCGGAACUGCAUCUGAUACUGCAUGACUAGAGUGCAGCAGAGGGAAACGGAAUUCCCAGUGUAGAGGUGAAAUUCGUAGAUAUUGGGAGGAACACCGGUGGCGAAGGCGGUUUCCUGGGCUGACACUGACACUGAGGCGCGAAAGCGUGGGUAGCAAACAGGAUUAGAUACCCUGGUAAUCCACG